GAGGAUCAGGAGCUUAAAUAACUCGCUUAACAUAAAACAUGGAGUCAACUAAGGCUUCCAUUUAACUAGGCUAUCAAACACAAAGCCCUCAUUCUUACAAUACUCUUCUAAUGAUAGUUCCGUCUUUAUGAACAUUCCAGAGAUGGGAUUUCACCGUGUUGCCUAUGGUGGGUGACUUGACUGCACAUCUUCUUUUCUGGAUGAGGAAACAGGGGAUUAAAAAUUUGGGCUUUGACCGAGUGUGGUGGCUCACGCCUGUAAUCCCAGCAAUUUGGGAGGCCGGAGGCAGGCAGAUCACUUGAAGUUAGGAGUUCAAGACCAGCCUAGUCAAUACGGUAAAACCCCGUCUUUACCAAAAAUACACACACACACAAAACAGCCAGGUGUGGCGGUGUGUGCCAAUAAUCCCAGCUACUUGGGAGGCUGAGGCAGGAGAAUUGCUUGAACCCAGGAGACAGAGGUUGCAGUGAGCCAAGAUCAUGCCACUGCACUCCAGCAUGGGUGAAAGGGCAAGAC
rnacentral:lncRNA from 1 species